CCAAUUUCUUUUCAAGGUGGUUGUAACACUUUAUACCCUCCCUAGGUUUAUUCCGACAGUGGACUCCGCAUCUAUGCAUACACUUGGUAUUGUGAGUCUUUAAAAUUUUUGUCAAUUUUUGUGGGUGGGAAGCAGUAAGUAUUCAUUGUUUCAAGUCUUUUAACUUUUUUAAAAAAUAAGAUUUUAUUCAUUCAUUUGAUAGAGACACAGUGAGAGAGGGAACAUAAGCAGGGGGAGAGGGAGAGGGAGAAGCAGACUUCCUGCUGAGCAGGGAACCCGAUGCGGGGCUGGAUCCCAGGACCCUGGGAUCACGACCUGAGCCAAAGGCAGACACUUAGCGACUGAACCACCCAGGCACCCCAUCUUUCAACUUUCUGAAGGUUAGCUUUAUUCAGAUAUAAUUUGCAUGCCUUUAAAAAGUAUGCAAUUUAGAGGUUUUAGUUAUUCUCACUUUAAAAAAAUAUUUUAUUUAUUCAUUUGACAGACAGAGAUCACCAUUAGGCAGAGAGAGAGAGGAAGGGAAGCAGGCUCCCUGCUGAGCAGAGAGCCUGAUGCGGGGCUCGAUUCCAGGACCCUGAGAUCAUGACCUGAGGUGAAGGCAGAGGCUUUAACUCACUGAGCCACCCAGGCGCCCCUAUUCUCACUUUUUAAUGGUGUCCGUUUUCAUGCAGAGGUUUUAAGGUUUGAUGACAUUAAACCAAUUGAUUCUUCCCCUUAACUGUUUAUGCUUCUUGUAUCUUAAACAAGACUUCUUUCCCGAAUAUCACAAUUCAAAAAAGCUAUUCUCCUGCAUUUUUUUCCUGAAACUAAAAAAACUUUGUUUUUCAUAUUUAGGGUUUUAAUACUCCUAAAAUGGACUUUUAGAUCUGGUGUAAGUUUAGCGCCUACAUUAUCUUUUUUCAUAUGGCUAAUCAAUUGACCUCAAACUAUUUAUUGAAUAAUUAAUCCUUCCUCACUGAUUUAUAUUGUUAGCUCAGGGAUAGAGCAGGUUUCCAUAUUUACUUUCUAAUAUGUUGUAACUGUCCUUUUGUCUUUACCGUGUCAAAAUCUUAAUGACUUAAUCAUUAUACUUGAUAAUGAUAUUUUUAAGCGAGGUUUUUAUUUUAAUUCCACUGUAAUUAACAUGCAGUGAUUUAGUAGUUUCCUGUAUAGUGAUAUUUAGCAAGGACAUUUUUAGCGAGGACAUUUUUCACAAAAAAAGUUUUGAUUUCUUGGACCUUUCUUCCUUCAGAUGAAAUUUAACAUUGGCCUGCCAAGUUCCACACAAAAACUUAAUGAAAUUUGAAAUGAACUUUAUUGAAGUUAUUGACUAAUUUGGAGAGAGUUAUUUAUUUUUGUUACAGAAGAUAUUCUCAACCACGAACAUGGUCUAACAGGCAGCUUCCCUAACCCUUGUCCCUUUCUCCAACGUGAGAAUUUGCUCAUAAGGCCGUUUGUCUCUUAGUUCUGUUUUCCUUUCUGAAUCAUUCAUUUAUUCAUUCAGAAAUAUUUACCGAGUGUCUCGUCUGUGCCAUGUCAUUAGCUACCCUGAAUUCCACUGGGUGAGAUUUCAUUCAGACCUGCCUGUGACUUCAUCUUCUCUUUCAAACAAAGCUAUCUUUUUCGGCUUUUGAAGUUUUUAUUUUAAUUCCAGUUAAUUAAUAUGCAGUGUACAAUAGAGUGGUUCAGUGCUCCCAUACAACACCUGGUGCUCAUCGCGACAAGUGCCUCCUUCAUCCCCAUCACCUGUUCCACCCAUCCCCCACACACUCCCUGCUGGUGACCAUCAGUUUGUUCUCUAGAGUUGAAAGUCUGUUUCUUGGUUUGUCUCACUCUCUCUCUCUUUUUUCCUUUGCUCAUUUGUUUUAUUUCUUAAGUUCCACAUAUGAGUGAAAUCGUAUGGUAUUUGUCUUUCUCUGACUGAUUCAUUUUGCUUAGUGUAAUGCUUUCUAUCUCCAUUCCAGCCAUUGCAAAUGGCAAGAUUUCAUUCUUUUUUAUGGCUGAAUAAUAUUCCAUAUUAUAUAUAAUAAAAAUUCAAAAAUAUGUCUGAUAUAAUGUAUAUUAAAUAAUAUAUUAAAUAAUAAAUACUAUAUUAAAUUAUAUAUGUUAAAAUAUAUAUUAACAUAAAUAUAGAAUUUGUGAGUCAUUCUUGCCUAGGGGCCAUGCUAAUCUUACCUGUAUCAUUCCGAUUUUAGUAUACGUAUUACCAAAGUCAGCACAGACAAGAGUAUAUCUUAUUAUUUUUUUCUUUUCUCUCUCUUUUUAAAAAAAGUUUAUUUGUUUAAGCAAUCUCGACACCCAGUGUGGGGCUCGAACUCAUAAUCCUGAGGCCAAGACCUGCACAUUCCACUGACUGAGGCAGUCAGGUGCCCCCCAAACCACAUUUUAAAGAUUUUUUUUUUUUUUUUUUUGUUACAGACAGAAAUCACAGGUAGGCAGAGAGGCAGGCAGAGAGAGAGGGAAGGAAGCAGGCUCCCUGCUGAGCAGAGAGCCCGAUGUGGGGCUCAAUCCCCGGACCCCGGGAUCAUGACCUGAGCCGAAGGCAGAGGCUUUAACUCACUGAGCCACCCAGGUGCCCCCAAACCACAUUUUAAACUAAACUGGAUGUUAACUUAAAAUAGAAUGACUAAUAGGAUUAAACCCUCCUAAUGUGUGUUUGUGAUUAUUGAAUAGAGCUGUCCACAUACAUCAGUCUCUGACUGGUGGCUUGUACCUAGGAAAUAUUUGAGCUUCGUCGAUGUGUUUUAUGUCUCUUCCCUCUAGUGCAUCUGCUGGAGUAUGGAAGUGUGGAAUCAGUCAUUCUGCUUCCUGUUCCUCAGGCUCCAUCCACUCCGGAGCUCCAUUCAGGAGCCCGCUGCGGGGAGAACCUCCACGGCACAACUCAUCCUGCGUGUCCCAGACAAGAAGUGAGCCCAGAGGGAUGGCUUCUCCAGGCCUCUGUUCUGUGCCUUAAUGAACCUCGGAGGAAAGAGGAAGUGAAGGCUACACGCCCUGCCGGAGCCGGAGCACCGAGCGAGCUUUUUAUAGCCGAUGUUCCUUGCACAUUUAUAGGUGUGAAAUACAAAUGCAGUCGCCUUUCCUUUUGGCAAUGAUAAAAAGUUAUUCUGACCAUGAAAGCAGGAAGAAAAUAUGCUAUUUUCUGUGGCUGUUGCCUUUUUAUUCUCUUGUCUUCCCUUUUUCUCACUGUCAACUUCCUCCUCCUUCUUUUGGUGCAGAAUGACACAGAAUAAAAAGAUCAAAAGGCAGCUGUGAGCGUAAGUGUGCUGGCUAAAGGCUGUCAUAAUAUCAUGCCAAUAAGCCGGCUCUGGGUGGGCUAAUGUUAGUAUUAAAACUUUAAAGUAUAUGGUCUUGGGCACCUGGGUGUCUCAGUCAUUAAGCGUCUGCCUUUGCCUCUGGUCAUGAUCUCAGGGUCCCGGGAUCGAGCCCCACAUCAGGCUCCCUGCUCUGCAGGAAACCUGCUUCUCCCUCACCCUCUCCCCCUUGCUUGUGAUCCCUCUCUUGCUGUGUCCCUAUCUGUCAAAUAAAUAAAUAAAAUCUUAAAAAAAACUGUAUUGUCUUUCUACUUGGCCAUUGUGAGUGACCACCGGUGGUGAUUAAGCCUAAAGCCUCUUUGGACUAAUCAUUUUGUGUUACCUGUAGGGCUGAACUGUCACUCCUGUUCUUGGUACAGUUUUUACAUUUUUAAAAAAAGAUUUUAUUUAUUUACUUGACAGAGAGAGAGAGAGUCUGAGCAGGGGAAGGGACUGUAGGACUGUGGGAUGGUUUGAACCUGCUGUUUUUCAGUUUUAAGAACAUGCUUCCUCAGUAGCUGGAAUUCAGAAUUCUUCAAAGUUAGCCCGCAGAGAGAUUAAGUGAAAAAAAAAUCCUACAGCUAAUAGUGGAAAACCUGGACUCAGUCAAGCCCCAAUUUUUAAAUAAGUCCGCUCUAUUGUGGUACAGUUUAUGCACAAUAAAAAUGCAUUCAUUAAAAAGAUACCUUUCUGGGGGUACCUGGGUGGCUCAGUCGGUUAAACGUCUGCUUUCGGCUCAGGUCCUGAUCUCCGCGUCCUGGGAUCAAGCCCCGUAUCAGGCUUCCUGCUCAGCAGGGAGUCUGCUUCUCCCUCUGCCUCUGCCUCUGCCCUUCCUUACUGCUCAUUCUCUCUUUCCCUCUCUCUCUCAAAUAAAUAAAUAAAAAUCUAAAAAAAAAAAAAAGGGACAUUUCAAUGACUUUUUGAAACAUUUCUACAUCCCUAUGAUUACCACCAAGAUUAAACACAAUGCUUCCAUUGUGUCAAAGCGCUCCCGGCCCCGCCCAAGCACCCUUCCCCGCCGUGCCUCGCCCAGGCAACAACUGGUCUGCUUUCUGGCACGGCAGAUCACAGGUGUCUCUUCCAGGGUUUCAGAAAAAUGGAGUCGCACAGUGUGUACUCUUUCUGUUUGCCUUCUUUUCCUCGGUGUCAUGAUUCUGAGACUCACGUACGCUGUCUGAGUCCGUAGUCAUCGCAGCUUAGUUAAGUUGACUCUAUAACUUACAACUUCCCUACAACUAGUUUGAUUUUCUUAUCCUUAAGAUGACAUUUGGAUUAUGCAAGAUAUAUGUAGGGUGAGGUCUGGGGAAGGUCUCAAACACAGAGCUUCUCUGCCAUCGGCUCAUGGAGUCUGAGCGCAUCAUCCUCCUGGUGCAUCAGCCUUCAGUGAACCCGCUGGGUGCGUUCACCAACCAGGAAGCCCCGCUGACCUUCGGGGUCCAGAGUUAUGUCAUGUAGACACGAUUGGUUGACUCACCAGUCAAGAGACUGAACUCAAAUCUCCAGGCCCCCUCUCUUCCCUGGAUUUCCGGCAGCCGAAAACCUCAAACUUUCAGUCACGCGCUUGGUCUUUCUGUAGACCAUCCCCAUCCUGGAACUUUCUAGGGGCCCAUCCUAAGCCACUUUAUUAGCCUAACAAAGACAUUCUCCCCCCCCCCCCUCAGGAAAUUCCAGGAACCAAGAACAAAACACAUAUGCCUUCUUCCUGUACCACACCUCCCCACACUCAUGCUCCCGUGUCGCUCUCUAUCUAACUUAUUUUACUUAGCAGAAUGCUUUCAAGUCCCAUCCAUCUUGUGACCAAUGGCAGGAUUUCCUUCUUUCUCAUGGCUGAAUAAUAUUUCACUGGGCAUCCAUACUAUACCUUCUUUACCCCUUCAUCUGUUGGUGGACUUUUAGGUUGUUCCCUUACCUUGACUUCUGUGGAUAAUGUUACGAUGCUCCUGCAAGUACAGGUGUCUUUUCAAAAUCCUGUUUUCAUUUCCUUUGGCUAUAUACCCCAAAGUGGAAUUGCCAGAUUGUACUUCUAUUUUUCAAGUUUUUAAGGGCCUCCAAACUGUUUCCUGCAGUAUCUGCACCUGUUUGCCUUCCAGCCAAUGGCAUAUAAGGUUCCCGUUUCUCACCAGCACUUGUCUUUUGUGAUUGAUUUUUUGAUAAUAUUCCACCCCACGAGUUGCCUUUUUGCUCUGUGUUUUAUUUUGUUUUAACUAUAGGUGACUCUAUUGAAUGUUCCAAGGGAAUGCCAGAAAUCUCAUACCAGCAAAUGCAACGCAGUACAACUUAGCCUUGAAUGGAGUCUGCUUGCUCCAACGGACACUAGCCAUCUUUGUUCUGGUUUAAAUUUUACAAAGUCAAACAUACGUAAGUGCUCAAAUCACACUUAAAGUUAAAGCCAAUGGCAUCUGCAGGAGGAGAAGCCUACUUAUAUUAAUUUCAGUGUAAAGUUACAAGAAUGAAUGCAUGUUAAUUUUGAAGUAAUCUUAAUAGCUAACACAUCAUGGUGGCUUACAUGGGCCAGAAUCCUAUUAAAUGCAUCACGUGGCUAAGGGAGAUUGGAAUGUUAGAGUGGAUUUGUCACUUCAGACCUGUUUACCCACACUGGGAGGGUCCAGAAUACACACCUUUCACAAGUACUAUGAGAAAUAUGUUUGUGGAAGGAGCGCUGGCAUCCUUGGGGAACUUUGUAAUUGCUGUUCUCUGCAGACCCCAACUUACAGUGGGAACUGCUGUCACUGAACUGGGAAACCUAAAUGCAAUGAUAGUAAUUGGAUCCAAGGUGGCAAGGGCCAAUUCCAGGAUCAAAAGGAGGAGACAUCACUACAGGUCCAUAUACAUUACCAGGAUAAAACGGAAUGUUGCGAACAAUGGUCAGCCAGUACCUUCAACUAGUUCAAGGAAAUGGACAUACUCCUUGGAAGGCACCAAAUAUCAAGCUCAAGCAAGAAGAAAUAAACAACCUUGGGCUUUAUCUCUACGAAGAACUUUCAAUUUUGUAGUUGAAAAUCUGUACCCAAAGAAAACUGGUAGUUGAAUACUAUCUAAUGUUUCCAUAAGUCCCUUCCCUGCAGAGUUCCCUCCAGAGUUAAUGUCCUCCAUGGGGGCAUUUGCAUGUGAGACUUGGAAGGGGGAGGCCAAGCAGCAGCAAGUAGCUUUCAUGCGCAGAGGGUGGGUGCAGCAUAGCAGCUGUCCUGCUCAUGCGUGGUCUUACUCUCUGCUGGCUCAUCUGGUUUAAAGGGACAGGAGCCAGGCCCACAUCUCCUCCAGCUCCUGUGCUAGGCUGGAGCACUUAGCUUUGGCCCAAGAGUGCUAGGUUCACCUGCAGGUCACUCGCAUCCUGGAAGCUGGGAGCAGUGAGAGAGGUGGGCUUGAGCUUGUCCAUCUGUGCUCCAUCUCAUGUCCUAACAGCUUCCAAUCUUUCCUUUCUCUAUCUCCCACCACACCCACCUUUCCUUCCUGAGUGCCUGCCCCACUCACUCUGGGCCCCAGCACUGGAAACAAAAGCCUUCGAUGUCUGGUUUAACCAACUCCCACAGUUCGGUUGGGUCAAAUCACUAUUUUAAAUCCCUUAUUACACAUAGCUCCUCUUGGUUCUGUUUCUCUGAUGGAACCUUGAUUGAAAUACCAGCUGAGGGGCGCCUGGGUGGCUCAGUGGGUUAAAGCCUCUGCCUUCAGCUCAGGUCAUGAUCCCAGGGUGCUGGGAUUGAGCCCCACAUCGGGCUCUCUGUUCAGCAGGAGGCCUGCUUCCUCCUCUCUCUCUGCCUGCCUCUCUGCCUACUUGUGAUCUGUGUCUGUCAAAUAAAUAAAUAAAAUCUUAAAAAAAAAAAAAAGAAAGAAAUACCAGCUGAGCUACUGUUUAAGCCUUCAGCCAUUUGCAGUGACUCUUUUUUUUUUUUUU